UACGGAGGGCGCAAGCGUUGUUCGGAAUCACUGGGCGUAAAGCGCGUGUAGGCGGCUUGGUAAGUCGGGUGUGAAAGCCCGGAGCUCAACUCCGGAACUGCAUUCGAAACUACCUCGCUCGAGUCCCGGAGAGGGUGGUGGAAUUCCCGGUGUAGAGGUGAAAUUCGUAGAUAUCGGGAGGAACUCCAGUGGCGAAGGCGGCCACCUGGACGGUGACUGGCGCUGAGACGCGAAAGCGUGGGGAGCAAACAGG
rnacentral:rRNA from 1 species